GCUGGGUGUGGUGGCUCACACCUGUAAUCUCAGCACUUUGGGAGGCUGAGGCAGGUGGAUCACCUGAGGUCAGGAGUUCAAGACCAGCCUGGCCAACAUGGUGAAACCCUGUCUUUA
ensembl:misc_RNA Metazoa_SRP Metazoan signal recognition particle RNA